rnacentral:rRNA from 1 species
CCUACGGGAGGCAGCAGUGGGGAAUCUUGCGCAAUGGGCGAAAGCCUGACGCAGCAACGCCGCGUGCGGGAAGAAGGCUUUCGGGCUGUAAACCGCUUUCAGCAGGAACGAAAAUGACGGUACCUGCACAAGAAGGAGCGGCCAACUAUGUGCCAGCAGCCGCGGUGAUACAUAAGCUUCAAGCGUUGUNCGGAUUUAUUGGGCGUAAAGAGUUCGUAGGCGGUCUAGUAAGUCAGGUGUGAAAAUUCUGGGCUCAACCCAGAAACGCCACCCGAUACUGCUUAACUUGAGUUCGAUAGGGGAGUGGGGAAUUCCUAGUGUAGCGGUGAAAUGCGCAGAUAUUAUGAGGAACACCCGUGGCGAAAGCGCCACUCUGGAUCGAUACUGACGCUGAGGAACGAAAGCAUGGGUNGCANACAGGAUUAGAUACCCUGGUAGUCCAUGCCGUAAACGGUGGGGCUAGGUGUGGGAUUCUAUUAACGAAUUCCGCGCCGGCGCUAACGCAUUAAGUGCCCCGCCUGGGGAGUACGGUCGCAAGACUNAAACUCAAAGGAAUUGACGG